CCGCCGGCGGUGAGAAGCCGAGCGAAGAAGCACCGUCCCGGGACGUCCCGCUCACGAGCAGGUCUCCCGUCACUGUAAGAAAGGACUCCUCAAGUUGCAAAAUAGGUAUUUUUAGGUCCUUGUGAAAAAAAAUAAUCGGAUGUUCAGCGUGUCCGGCUGACGGUAAAGCACACAAUCCUGCCAGGCCCCAUGCGUUGGAGCUGGAGGGAGUCACCUCUUGCCUUUAAGCUGGUUUGGUGUUCAGGUUGUUUUUUCUUUGCGUUUAGGGGUUUUUUUCGAUGUUGGCUUCUUUUUCGAAGAUCGGCUUCGUCGUUGUCAUCGGAGUAAAAAAUAAAAUAAAAUAAAAUCCAAUAAAUAGGCAUUUUUAAGUGGAAUUAAAAACCUCUCCUUUGCGAAAGGACACUAUAAACUUCUCCAUCCGUUCGCACGGCGCACGAGGCUAGAUUAAAAAAACGCGGAGAUAUAAAUAUGAGAUUACCGAAAAGCGUCAAACAGCAUCGUUCCUCUUUUUUUUCAAUCGAGUUUUGCUUUGUUUGCCAACUCCUCGCCAAGCGCAGCUCUCUGACGGCAUGCGCCCGCGCCGGCUCCGCUGUUUCCGAGCGUGCGUGUUGGGUUCGCUUUCUGUGGGUUGGGUUUUUUUGUUGUUGUUGUGUUUUGCUUCGUUUUUCUCUAUUUUUUUUUUUUUUUUUUUUUUUCCCCCNNNNNNNNNNNNNNNNNNNNNNNCCACGAAGCAACGCCGGGCUCCGGCGCUGCCGAGGGUUGAGGUAAGAUGGGGCUGCGGCGGUUGCCUCCGUCUCAGAUCCAACGGCUGUAGGGGCCCGUCACCUUGGUGUAGGCGUAGGAGGACACAGUGAUGGCGGAGUUGGUGGGGAUGGCCACCGCCUGCCGCGUGGGGACCGAGUCCCUCCUCUCCUUGCUGGGCGCCUCGGUCGCCAACGCGCCGCCCCACUUGCGUUUCUUGGCGAAGGCUUUGGCGUCCGGCGGGAGACCCAGGCGUGCCGCCUCCUCUUGCCGGGCUCGAGCCCGCUCCGCCAACUGCUUCAUCUUGGCCUCCCACAGCGCCAGGCCGUGGUUGGGCUGGUUCAAGUUCUUGUGUUGGUAGAAGACCAGGGAGAUGCGGGUGGGGUGGCAGCGGUUGGGUUUCUUCAGCGGGGUGGUGGCGUGGAGCUCGCGGCGGGCGCACUCGAUGAGGAUGGAGCCGUGGGCGGGUGCCACGGCCACCCCGCCGAUGUUCUCGUCCAGGAAGUUGUGCUCGCUGUCCGACCACUCCUCCUCCUCUUCCUCGUCCUCCUCCUCCUCCUCCUCUUCCUCCUCCUUCACCGCCUUCUCCGGCAGAUCCUCCUCCAGGCCGAAGGGGUCCCACGGCUUCUCC
rnacentral:lncRNA from 1 species